GGACCCUUAGCUCAGUGGUAGAGCUUUGUACUUAUGUGGUUAUCGUGUACCAGAGCAUACUAUGCAAAGGUCCCGAGUUCAACCCUCGGAGGGUCCA
rfam:Phlebiopsis gigantea 11061_1 CR5-6 unplaced genomic scaffold PHLGIscaffold_28, whole genome shotgun sequence.